rnacentral:lncRNA from 1 species
GAGAAGAAGAAGAAGAAGAAGAAGAAGAAGAAGAAGAAGAAGAAGAAGAAGAAGAAGAAGAAGAAGAAGAAGAAGAAGAAGAAGAAGCAGCAGCAGCUGUUAGGAACUUUAUAAAAGACCAAAUGGAGUGACAUGGCACAUGGAACAAAGUAACCCACGGUACAUGUGUUCCUGGAUUGCUGCUGUACAUGUGUGCCAGGUGGCCCCUCAAGUCCCUGUUCGACUGUCCUGUGGGUCCGGACAAACUGGUGCCCGGAACGUUUGGCUUCCCGGUGAUUGCUGAGGAAGAGAACACUGCUCAUCAUUGGAGGGUAGGCCUACCCGCUCAUCUCAGGAAGCUUCAGUUUUGCACAACGCCACAGUCCACCCAACUGUGAGACCAUCUGGGAAAGAGAACAUAACCAGUGCAGAUCUUAGGAGAAAUACAGUAAGACAUGGGACAAGCAUUUUCUAAGCAGUCACUUUUUGUGACAGGGCUCAAGGAGUCUCUCAAAACUCGAGGAACUAGGGUUAAGAAAAAGGAUUUCAAGAAAUUUUUAGAAUUUGUGGGAGAGAUUUGCCCAUGGGUCCCCCAAGAGGGAACGAUUGAUGUAAAGAGGUGCUCAGAGUUGGUGAUUGUUUCAGAGAUUAUUAUGAAGCAUUUAGACCUACAAAAAUACCUGUUACGGCCUUUAACUACUAGUCCCUCAUUAAUAACAUUCUUAAAACCACCCCUGAAUGGCCAGAUCUCCAACGCUUGGUGUCCGAGGAAGAGCGGUCUCUUAAAGAAUCCUUCUCCCGUUCUCCUUCCGCUAACCUAGCCGUUACUACACUGCCUUCUUCCCCUUUAAGAGAGGAACCUUUAUCCUCUUCUGUUGCCGAUGCUGAUGGUGCCACAGAUCUUCCCCCUUUGCCCCCGCCUAUGGAGGAAAUUAAGAUGGCAGAUCUUUAUCCUUCCCUCAUUGAUCUUGAUAGUAAACUGCUGCCCACUGAUGGAGCGACUCUCGUGGAGGAGACAGCUUGUUAUGAGUUGGAGCUCUAUCGCGAUCAGCCAAAAGCGGCCACAACUGCUUUAGCCUAGGCCCCUCCCCUGAGAGGCACUGCCACACUCCCAUUUUUCUUUCUGCCACUACCCUAUGGGACUUUAGAUGCAGUCUUUGAUCCACCUGCCAUGUCUGGUGCCCGCUGUCAAUUAACUGCUGACAUAGCAUCCCUGCGUCAUAUGUUAGAGACCCGAAAGGAACAAGUACAACUGCUUAGGGCCCUCCA